rnacentral:rRNA from 1 species
UACGAAGGGGGCUAGCGUUGCUCGGAAUUACUGGGCGUAAAGCGCACGUAGGCGGCUUGUUAAGUCAGGGGUGAAAUCCUGGAGCUCAACUCCAGAACUGCCUUUGAUACUGGCGAGCUUGAGUUCGGGAGAGGUGAGUGGAACUGCGAGCGUAGAGGUGAAAUUCGUAGAUAUUCGCAAGAACACCAGUGGCGAAGGCGGCUCACUGGCCCGGUACUGACGCUGAGGUGCGAAAGCGUGGGGAGCAAACAGG